GACGGGGGGUCCAAGCGUUGUUCGGAAUCAUUGGGCGUAAAGCGUGUGCAGGUGGUUUUGUAAGUUGGAUGUGAAAGCCCCGGGCUUAACCCGGGAAGUGCAUUCAAAACUGCAAAACUUGAGUAUGGAAGAGGGUCGUGGAAUUCCUGGUGUAGUGGUGAAAUACGUAGAUAUCAGGAGGAACACCGGUGGCGAAGGCGGCGACCUGGUCCUAUACUGACACUCAUACACGAAAGCGUGGGUAGCAAACAGG
rnacentral:rRNA from 1 species